rnacentral:lncRNA from 1 species
UGUUCUCUUUCGUACAGCAGCAGACUUCAUUCCAUCUUUCUAUUAGCUAGACGGAAAGCCUUCAGCAAACUAAUUUUGGCUCUGGGUCACUCUCAGAAAACCAACAAGGAGUUGCCCUGAUUUGAUCCACUCAGCAAGCCGGCACAGACUGGCCUCCAUCGCCUUCUGUCAGUGGAGGAUCAGCCAGGACAGAAAAACUCUAUGACUACUAUGGAGAACAUUUUAU